rnacentral:lncRNA from 1 species
CUGACCCGCGACCAGUACCUGCGCGAUGUGACAAGGGUGCGGUUCUACAAAAGCUACCUCGCCCAGCUGAAAAAAGCCAUAGAUCAGGGCGCAAACGUGGCUGGCUACUUCGCCUGGUCUCUCCUUGACAACUUCGAGUGGCUAUCAGGAUACUCUUCCAAGUUUGGCAUUGUCUACGUCGAUUUCAACAACAAGCUCGAACGGCACCCGAAGGCUUCAGCCUACUGGUUCAGGGACAUGCUUAAGAAGAAUUGAGG